AAGUGUCAUUUGCAUAUUACAAUAAAAAAAAAAAUCCCCGCGUGACACUGUCACCUUUUUUCCUCUGAGGAGUUUGCAGGUCUGAUAAAGGGACCCAGAUUUGCAUCUCCAUCAUUUGGGCCAAUUAUAUGCAGUGGCAUCCGGAAAGACUGCCUCUCGUGGAUUCUGUGGUGAUAUUAAAGGACACACACAAUACAAAUCACAAGUGCGGGCAUAAAGCGCUGCUGCAACAAUACUGAACCAAAACUUAACAAGAUUGUUGUUGAGUGAGUGAAAUGGUAUCUUUUGAAGAUUACAGAUUAACUUCGUUGUUUUGAAACUGCGUGGCCCUCUGAUUUCUUCGAGCGGAGUCCACCUGAACAACAGAUAAAAGACGACUGGAAAAUAGAUAUUGAGAAAAUUACGAUCAUUAUUGAGUCAGGCUGAUGCAGAGAGUGAGAAAUGUGUUGGCGUCGAUGCUCACCGGCCUGGUGGUGGGGACUUUGUGUGGGGCUGCUGCCUCCCUAGCAGCGACAGCAAUACCAGCCUUGAUGGGGGGCACAUUAGUCUGCAGUAGAGUUACUAUGGCCGCGGGUGGGUUUGCGGGGACCUGUAUGGGUUUAGUGAUUGGGCUAGGAGCUGAAAGUCCUUUGGAAAGAGCUCAGAAAACCCUGCGCCAGGAGGGCAGCGUGAGGGCCGG